UACGGAGGGUGCGAGCGUUGUCCGGAAUCACUGGGCGUAAAGGGCGCGUAGGCGGCCUGAUAAGUAGGGGGUGAAAUCCUGCGGCUUAACCGCAGGGCUGCCUUCUAAACUGUCAGGCUAGAGCACAGUAGAGGCAGGUGGAAUUCCCGGUGUAGCGGUGGAAUGCGUAGAGAUCGGGAAGAACAUCAGUGGCGAAGGCGGCCUGCUGGGCUGUUGCUGACGCUGAGGCGCGACAGCGUGGGGAGCAAACAGG
rnacentral:rRNA from 1 species